rnacentral:rRNA from 1 species
GAUGAACGCUGGCGGCGUGCCUAACACAUGCAAGUCGAACGAAGCACCUUACCGGAUCUUUGGGAGGAAGGCCGGGGGCCUGAUUGGCGGACGGGGGAGUAAGGGGGGGUUACCCUGCCCGGAAAGGGGGGAUAACAGUGGGAAACGGGUGUAAUAACAGCAUAGGGGCAGGAGAGGAAUUCUCUUGGGGUGAAAAAUUCCGGUGUAACAGGUUGGGCCGGCGUCUGUUUAGUUGGUGGGCAGGGUAACGGCGUACCAAGGCAACGAUCAGUAGCCGGUCUGAGAGGAUGAACGGCCACAUUGGAACUGAGACACGGUCCAAACUCCUACGGGAGGCAGCAGUGGAGAAUAUUGCACAAUGGGGGAAACCCUGAUGCAGCAACGCCGCGUGAGUGAAGAAGUAUUUCGGUAUGUAAAGCUCUAUCAGCAGGGAAGAUAAUGACGGUACCUGACUAAGAAGCUCCGGCUAAAUACGUGCCAGCCGCCGCGGUAA